AUUGAACGCUGGCGGCAUGCCUUACACAUGCAAGUCGAACGGCAGCACGGGGCAACCUGGUGGCGAGUGGCGAACGGGUGAGUAAUGCAUCGGAACGUGCCAUUGAGUGGGGGAUAACGUAGCGAAAGUUGCGCUAAUACCGCAUAUUCUGUGAGCAGGAAAGCAGGGGACCGCAAGGUCUUGCGCUCUUUGAGCGGCCGAUGUCAGAUUAGCUAGUUGGUGAGGUAACGGCUUACCAAGGCGACGAUCUGUAGCGGGUCUGAGAGGAUGAUCCGCCACACUGGAACUGAGACACGGUCCAGACUCCUACGGGAGGCAGCAGUGGGGAAUUUUGGACAAUGGGCGCAAGCCUGAUCCAGCCAUGCCGCGUGAGUGAAGAAGGCCU
rnacentral:rRNA from 1 species